UACAGAGGUCCCAAGCGUUGUUCGGAUUCACUGGGCGUAAAGGGUGCGUAGGUGGUUAGGUAAGUCCGAUGUGAAAUCUCCAGGCUCAACCUGGAAAUGGCAUUGGAUACUAUCUAGCUUGAGGAGUGGAGGGGGGACUGGAAUUAUCGGUGUAGCAGUGAAAUGCGUAGAUAUCGAGAGGAACACCAGUGGCGAAGGCGAGUCCCUGGACACUUCCUGACACUGAGGCACGAAAGCUAGGGGAGCAAACAGG
rnacentral:rRNA from 1 species